GAGAGGAGCGAGCGACUCCUGCGCAAGCGCAGAGUGAAGGGCCGGGAACAGUGGAGGGUGCGAGGAAGACAAUGGGGGAGGACCCUGAGGCGGCCUCUGUGAGCCGACAGGAACACGUGGUCGAUCAGAGAGAGACUCGAGGUUCGUGAACGGAUGGGGAGGACCCUGAAAAGCACUGUGGAAUACAGGUUUCUAGUAACUUCAAAAUCACAUCAUUUGGACUGGGUAAAGAGCUUUUUAUGGUUCACUGAGGACAAUCAACCCCUUCACAAUCUAGAACCCAAAGAUGGGAUCUUCUGAGAACAUCAGAGAAACGCUGCCCUUGGCAUCAUCACUGCAACAAAACAUCAGGAUCUUGAACCUUGGGGUCAUAAUCUCACAACUGAGCAGGGUCACUCUUGGAACUCUACAUCCAUUGAAACCCUUAAGGUAAAGCUAAUCAGGGAAGUUUCUCCCCAGAAGAAGAUGGCAUCCUUGAUGUGAGCAGCUCUUUCUGAAGAUCAUGGAUCAAGACUUCUUACUAUCAUGAGACUCUUAUCUUUGAAUGUUUUUCCGUUGCUUCCGCCUCUGUGAACAACAGAAGUGAGAAGGGGGUCUGUUUUGUGCACUUAUGGGGUAUACUUUUAUUUGUGAAGGGCUUUGCAGCCAGCUUUAUACAUGGAUAAUCUUAUAACUUGAUAGAUAAAGAUGAAGGCCCAGUGUAUCAUAGGUGAGAAACUUCAAUGGUACAUAUGGUGCCUCAUAAUCAUUCAGAAGCAGAACAUUGGUUCACUCCUCUUAACCCACAGCAUGGGUUAAAGAGACCAUUGCCAAGAGGCCUUCCCUCUUCUAGAAGGGCAUCAUUUGUUAGGUCCUUUUUCCAUGGUUUGGAAUUAAAAAGGCAAUGACUAGAAACAUAUCCCUCAUGGUAGACUCUGUAGCAGAUUCUACUGUAAAGGCUACACAACAGAUGUUAAAUUCUCUUGUGAAAGUUAUGCUAAAAAAUAGAAUUGGCUAAACAGGAAAGUACCUGUGCAGAUGCUGGCACUUAAGGCCUAUGGAGAAAACAUCAGGUGUUAUAGAGAGUCUGUUGUAGGGAAUUAACGAAAAGACCACUGAGUUAAGUCAAAGAAUGGUCUAUUUGAGUUUAGGUGGUCUGGUUUAUGGGGACCCUGGCUAAGGAGCAUACUCCAAAUUCUUGGUGUUAACCCUCUCAGUAGUCAUAAGAAUAGUCUCCCUGGUGCACUGUAUUCUCUCAAAGGUUUUAAAUGUUUGCAUGAAGCCAUCUUUAGAACGUCAGAUGGUCUCUCUUCAACUGGAAUGACAAGAGCUGAAAGAAAUGUGUGACCACGAGGACACCGAAACCGAUGAGUGACAUGCUGAGACUGGAAAUCCAAAAUGAUAGUAACGGAGAGUGGCGCUAACAUCCUAAGUUUUGGUCACACUCUUGCCUAAGUGACAACCUGACAAAGGGGGAAUUUUUUAAACAAAAUGAUGGGAGGCCAUUGUUUUGGACUGAGCACUAGGUCCCAACAGACCAAACCGAACCAAAAUGGCAUCAUUCGUGCUAAAUGUGACAUAAUCGAAUUAAGACUUUAAGGAAACACAUGGGUCCUAGAAUAGACCAGGUUUUGUUUUUCUCUUGCAAACAGGACUUUCCAGCAUAAGGUGGUAUCCUCAACUCAGUCCUUGUUCCUACCUUUGCAAAACUCACUGUUCUGCUUCCUAGUGGGUUUCAAGACCAAUGGUGACAGUGACAUCAAUAACUCAAGUUUCGAUCAAUCUCUCAAAACUGAUAAAAUGACCAAAAAGGGGGAAUUGUUAAAGCGAACUAAAUAUGGCCUGAGAAGGACUCCGUACUUCUGUAUUGGAGUCCCUGUGAACAAACUGAGCCUAACUUAAUAGGUAGACAAGAUUGAAAACCUAAAUUAGGAGUAUGUACCUGUCACAAUUGCUGAGUCUCGGCCAGUCCCAGCAGCCGUACUUCAAUCACUCAUACACUGCUGAAUGUUCAAACUGUGUGUAAAUAAGGCAAAUGCCAACCUGUAACUAAUCCAGGUGUUUCUCUACCUCACUUCCCUUUUUUUGUCUAUAAAUCUUCCACCACGUGGCUGCACUGGAGUCUCUCUGAAUCUGCUGUAAUUCUGGGGGCUGCCCGAUGUGCAAAUCAUUCAUUGCUCAAUUAAACUCCUUUAAAUUUAAUUCAGCUGAAGUUUUCUUUUAACAAGAGUGAGAUAAGAAUCUGUGUUCUUAUCCCCCAGAAUGGACAAAUCAGUAGCGUUCCUUGUCAUUCUUUUGUGGCUGGUUUCACGUAAAUAUUUUGUGUGUAUGAUAAUAGAAUUUGAUUUUAAUGAAUAUACUUUAAAAGCAACUUUUUUUUUAUUCUUCCUCACCAUCGAAGAUGGAGAAAAAUAAGAAGGGCUGUCUUGCGG
rnacentral:lncRNA from 1 species